rnacentral:rRNA from 1 species
UACGGAAGGCAGCAGUGGGGAAUAUUGCACAAUGGGCGCAAGCCUGAUGCAGCCAUGCCGCGUGUAUGAAGAAGGCCUUCGGGUUGUAAAGUACUUUCAGUCGUGAGGAAGGUGUUAAGGUUAAUAACCUUAGCAAUUGACGUUAGCGACAGAAGAAGCACCGGCUAACUCCGUGCCAGCAGCCGCGGUAAUACGGAGGGUGCGAGCGUUAAUCGGAAUUACUGGGCGUAAAGGGCACGCAGGCGGUUAAUUAAGUUGGAUGUGAAUCCCCGGGCUUAACCUGGGAAUGGCAUUCAAGACUGGUUAGCUAGAGUCUUGUAGAGGGGGUAGAAUUCCAUGUGUAGCGGUGAAAUGCGUAGAGAUGUGGAGGAAUACCGGGUGGCGAAGGCGGCCCCUGGGACAAAGACUGACGCUCAUGUGCGAAAGCGUGGGGAGCGAAACAGGGAUUAGAU